CAGUCGCCGCGGGAAUACAGAGGGUGCGAGCGUUAAUCGGAUUUACUGGGCGUAAAGCGUGCGUAGGCGGCUUCUUAAGUCGGAUGUGAAAUCCCUGAGCUUAACUUAGGAAUUGCAUUCGAUACUGGGAAGCUAGAGUAUGGGAGAGGAUGGUAGAAUUCCAGGUGUAGCGGUGAAAUGCGUAGAGAUCGGAAGGAACAUCUGUGGCGAAGGCGACUAUCUGGGCCAACACUGACACUGAGGCACGAAAGCGUGGGGAGCAAACAGGAUUAGAUACCCGGGUAGUCCCUGUCUCUUAUAC
rnacentral:rRNA from 1 species